rnacentral:lncRNA from 1 species
GACUGAGGUCCCUCAGCGAGCCAAGAGUGGAGCUGCAGACCCGUUACUGCUCCUCCCCCCAAGGCCCUGUGUCCUUCCGGGCCAGGGAAAGAGGCGGUGGCGGAGGAGGGCCGGGGCGGCUGCAGGCAUCUUCUGCUCCAGCCGUUCCCGGUUCUCGGGCCUGCAGGAUGCUGUGAGGCCACGAGGGGGCAGCAGCAUCCCGCCCGGCCCGGCUCUUCCCGGCGAUCCGGGACUCAGAGAAGAAACAGCUCUUGUCCACAUGGGGAGGUGAUCUGGGAAGAUGGACCGAGCCAAAGAAGCCGCGACACACACCUGAUGCUGUCAAGAUAGAAGGAGAGAACGCGGGCUCCCGCAUCAGUGCACACAGUUGGAAUCCCCACCGUGUGACCUUGGGUGUGAAUACAGAUAUCGUGGCUAUAUUUUUCAAGUUCAGGAUGUCAUCUCAAGUGGUCCCAGUGGAUAGAGCCCCACAGAGCCUGGCAAAGUAAAGCAACUCUGGAGCGAUGCACUUCGGCUGGAGCCUUCGAAGACGUCCCACUAAUAAAGUCAUACAAGUCACAGAGCCCGUCAGGAAUGGACCACCAGGAGCAAGAGGCAGCAGGCAAGGUCAAAUGCAGCCCCAGAGUCGUACAAACUGCAGACUCUCCGACUGUCAGUUACGAACUACAAAAAGGUCUUCAAAUGCUUAAGGAAACAAAAGAGGAUAGUCGAAGGAUGGCAAAGAAGCAGGAAACUAUCAUAUUUGCAGGCACAUUGGAGAAAAGGACUAAAGAGCAAUUCCAGAAAUAAAAAACUAUAAUCGAAGUUAGAAACUGAACAGGUAGGUUAAACAGCUGAGAAGACAUGUGACUAUUUGGAGACAGAUCAGAAGAAACGACCCACAGAGAAACACAGAGAGAUGAACAGAUGCAAAGGAAAUUAACUCGUGUGGUCCUGGUGGGAAUGUAAAAGGGUGCAGCCACUUUGGAAAUAUAAUCUGGAAGCUCCUCAAAAGGUCAACAUAGGGCUGCCGUAUGACCCAGCAAGUCCACUCCCAGGCAUCUACUCAAGAGAAAUGAAGGCGUGUGUCCACAUAAACUUGCACAUGAAUGUCCACAGCAGCAUUAUUCAUAACAGCCAAAGAGUGGAAACAACUUGCAUGUCCACCAACAGACGAAUGGAUAAGCAAAAUGUGAUUUAUGGCUGCAAUGGAAUAUGAUUUGGCAAUAAAAGGAAGGAAGCACUGACACAUGGUACAACAUGGAGAUGAAGAGACACGGAAGACGGAGCAAGAAGACCUAAUAGACAAAAUCAGUGCUAGAGAGGGGAGAACUGGAAAGCAGGCAGAGGCAAUAUUCAGAGUGAUAAUGGUUGCAAGUUUUACGGAAGUGAUGAAUGACACUAAGUCCUCAGAUUCGGAAAGCCCAAGGAAUGCCACGAGGGAUAAAAUAAAGAAAUCCACACUGACACACAUCAUAGGUGUAUCAUUCAGGGUCCAAUCAGCAGACAGAAGCCACCGAGUCACUGAACAAGGAAAGCUUAUUCUAAGG